rnacentral:rRNA from 1 species
AUUGAACGCUGGCGGCAGGCCUAACACAUGCAAGUCGAACGAGUGGCGGACGGGUGAGUAAUGUCUGGGAAACUGCCUGAUGGAGGGGGAUAACUACUGGAAACGGUAGCUAAUACCGCAUACCAUCAGAUGUGCCCAGAUGGGAUUAGCUUGUUGGUGGGGUAACGGCUCACCAAGGCGACGAUCCCUAGCUGGUCUGAGAGGAUGACCAGCCACACUGGAACCGAGACACGGUCCAGACUCCCACGGGAGGCAGCAGUGGGGAAGAUUGGAAAAUGGGCGGAAGCCUGAUGGAGCCAUGCCGCGUGGAUGAAGAAGGCCUUCCGGUUUUAAAGUACUUUCAGGCGGGAGGCGUUACCCGCAGAAGAAGCCACGGCUAACUCCGUGCCAGCCGCCGCGGUAAUAC